GAUCAUUAAUGAACUCUUAGAUUGUCGCUGGUCAAGUUAAUUCUUGGCAUCGUGCACAUCUUUGUUAUCCAACUACACACACUUGUGAACCUAUUGUAGAUCGCAAGAUCUAUGUCUUUCAUCACUUCUUAAACGUAUGUCUCAGAAUGUAAACCAAAUUAUUACAACUUUCAGCAAUGGAUCUCUUGGUUCUCGCAUCGAUGAAGAACGCAGCGAAUUGCGAUAAGUAAUGUGAAUUGCAGAUUUUCAGUGAAUCAUCGAAUCUUUGAACGCACCUUGCGCUCCUUGGUAUUCCGAGGAGCAUGCCUGUUUGAGUGUCAUUUAAUUAUCAAUCUAUAAUAACAUUUUAAAUUGGAGUUGGGAAUUGCUGGCUUUGAUUAGUCGGCUGUCCUUAAAAGCAUUAGCGAGCGAUAAGUAGUCAUUUCUACGUGCACGGCCUCUGACGUGAUAAUGAUCGUUGUGGGCUGGAAGCGUAUUGAUGGUCGAAAAGCUUGCUUCGAAAACCCUAUUAAUUAGUGUAAUUCCUAUUUGGAUAUGGCCAAAGACAUAGUAAGCUGGAACCAUGGCAUUGAAAAGUGCUAUGUGUAUACGGCUGAGGUGUGUAGGCUGGAAGGGAUAGGAUUGAAGCUAGUUAAAACAUAGAGACGGAACGAGUGGAAUAUUUCUAUGUGGAUACAAGCUAGACUAUGGAAGCAGUAGUAUUGGAAGCUCAUAGUGAAAGUUGACUAUGUAUGGAAGCCUUGAGGGAAAGUGCCAAUUUAAUUAUUGGUGUGGAAGCUUGAGGUGAAAGGACUAGUUAAUGGGAAGCUAAGCCAAAAGUUGACUACGUUUUUGGAUGGAAGCCUUGAGGGAAAGUACUAAUUUAAUUAUUGGUGUGGAAGCUCAAGGUGAAAGUUUGAAAACAAUUGAUUAAUGGAAAGCUAGAGUGGAAAGUGCUAUGUGAAUAUAGGUCAAGCAGUAGUAUUGGAAACUUGAAAGUGAAAAUUGACUAUGAAAAAAGCCUUGAGGGAAAGUGCCAAUUUAAUUAUUGGUGUHGAAGCYUGAGGUGAAUGGGACUAGUUGAUGGAAGCUACUAGAGUGAAAAGUGCUAGUGGAAGCAUAGUGAUUGAAAGCUAGUGGUUUUGUUUUGAAUUAAUGAUUGACCUCAAAUCAGGUAGGACUACCCGCUGAACUUAAGCAUAUCAAUAAGCGGAGGAAAAGAAACUAACAAGGAUUCCCCUCGUAACUGCGAGUGAAGCGGGAAAAGCUCAAAUUUUGAAU
rnacentral:rRNA from 1 species